AUGACACCUCCCAGGCAUGUCCGUUUCAUGUUCCUCUCUUCUCCUUUUUGGUAUUUUGCAUAUAAAUACUCUGAAAUUAGUAACUUGUUUCUUUGCAUCGAUGGUCGGCCUGUAUGUGGACACGUCUAUGACGCCUUCAUCUCCCCCCACCCACUCGAUCACCCCCUGUCUGUAUUAGCUUGGCUGUCUGACUCCUCUCCCUCUGACCUCCUGGACAGCGCUCCUGCCUCCUGCCGGAUGAGACCUGGCCCUGGGGCCGGGGCCGUCGAGAAGGACGCUGGGCCCCCCGUGCGCUCGCCCUGCUGUGCCAGCUGUGAGGACGGUGUCUCACUCCACACCCGGCUGUGCCUGUGCUCCCGCAUCGCAGAAGCUACUGAUCCCGCCUCCUCAGAGCCGGCUGCAGUGGGCUGGGGGCGGCUUCCUGCCUGUUCAAGGUGGGGAAGGGGCCUGCCCUCCACACUCCACAUCCCCCCUCGGGAGACUCGGGUGUCCCCGCUCCCGAGCCUUUCGGGGGUCCUUGGGGAGCAGCCAAGUGUUGUUGCUUUGUCCAUCCUGACGGCACCCAGGUUUCAUCACUGCUGUAUUCUGUCAGUGGCCACUGUGAAUUUGCUUUCCAUCCUCCAAAAAUGCACUGCCGCCUUGAGUCUGCCAUCAACGCCUUUCCUGUUCCACUGGGGAGCACCACCUCUGUUCUGUAGGGAUGACUUCAGUGCUGGGGAGCAGGGAGAGAGGAUGUUCUCAUCUCCUGAGCCACUCGGACCUGCCUUCUCUGCCGCCGUCCAGCUGCUCCUGUGCUUUAUACGUUUACCUCCCCAGCCCUUCCUCUUUUUCAACUGUCCACAAAGACUGAGCACCAAAGAACUGAUGCUUUUGAACUGUGGUGUUGGAGAAGACUCUUGAGAGUCCCUUGGACUGCAAGGAGAUCCAACCAGUCCAUCCUAAAGGAGAUUGGUCCUGGGUGUUCAUCAGAAGGACUGAUGUUGAAGCUGAAACUCCAAUACUUUGGCCACCUGAUGUGAAGGGCUGACUCAUCUGAAAAGACUCUGAUGCUGGGAAAGACUGAGGGCAGGAGGAGAAGGGGACAACAGAGGAUGAGAUGGUUGGACGGCAUCACGGACUCAAUGGAUGUGAGUUUGAGCAAGCUCCAGGAGAUGGUGAGGACAGAGAGCCCUGGCGUGCUGCCGUCCGUGGGGUUGCAGAGUCGGACACGACUGAGCGACUGAACAGCAACAAAGAUGCCGCCUCUGAAGGGCCGUCAUGAGUUGUUACAAAAACGCCUCCUUUCUCGGUGAAAACAAGGACGAGUUGGUAGAGUUAUUUCUCGAGGCAUGAGUGUAUGUGUGAUUCUGUAAGUGUGUGUGUGUGUGUGUGGGUGCAAGGAGUGGGUGGGAGGCAGAUGAGAGCGGAGGGCCCAAGGAGAGGGCCAAGUUCACAGAAUGCCCGCAGCACGGCUGUAGCUGGGUGCUAAUUUGCUCAGAGGCAUGCACGUCGCUGAUAGCGAGCUGUGCCCGUGACAUCCUGACACCGUCUCCCGGGAGGAGAGGGACCUGGAGGAUGCUCGUGUAAUCGCAGAGCCAGCUGAGACCCGGGCGGCUGGGGACGGGCGCCAUCUCUCUGCACAAUGGCGCUGGCGGAAGGUUGUGUAUAAGGUGGCCUUAUUAAAGUGACAAGGCAAUUUAAUUCCUUUGUGCACGAUGAUUCUACUUCAUUGAUUUACAAUGGGAAGGAUAUAAUUUUGCGAGUGUUGGCAAAAAGCUCAAAUGUCAGCCUUUUCAAAUUGCCAUACUUGCCUUGUUCAGGAUGAAUAAUGAAUAAGUCACCUUUUGUCUACAGUUAAAUAUUCUUGAAUAAAUACAAAGAACAUAAAAGACA
ensembl:lncRNA